rnacentral:rRNA from 1 species
CCUACGUGUGGCAGCAGUGAGGAAUAUUGGUCAAUGGCCGAGAGGCUGAACCAGCCAAUUCGCGUGAGGGAAGACGGCCCUACGGGUUUUAAACUUCUUUUGUCAGGGAGCAAUUGGGUCCACGCGUGGGCUUAGCGAGAGUACCUGAAUAAAAAGCAUCGGCUAACUCCGUGCCAGCAGCCGCGGUAAUACGGAGGAUGCGAGCGUUAUCCGGAUUUAUUGGGUUUAACGGGAGCGUAGGUGGAUUGUUAAGUCAGUUGUGAAAGUUUGCGGCUCAACCGUAAAAUUGCAUUGGAAACUGGAAGUCUUGAGUACAGUAGAGGUGGGAGGAAUUCGUGGUGUAGCGGGGAAAUGCUGAGAUAUCACGAAGAACUCCGAUUGCGAAGGCAGUUCACUGGACUGCAACUGACACUGAGGCUCGAAAGUGUGGGUAUCAAACAGGAUUAGAUACCCCAGUAGUC